UACGGGGGGAGCAAGCGUUGUUCGGAUUUACUGGGCGUAAAGCGCGCGUAGGCGGUUACUCAAGUCGGAUGUGAAAGCCCUCGGCUUAACUGAGGAAGUGCACCCGAAACUGAGUAGCUAGAGUACUAAAGAGGGUCGCGGAAUUCCCGGUGUAGAGGUGAAAUUCGUAGAUAUCGGGAGGAACACCGGUGGCGAAGGCGGCGACCUGGGUAGAUACUGACGCUGAGGCGCGAAAGCGUGGGGAGCAAACAGG
rnacentral:rRNA from 1 species